UACGGAGGAUGCGAGCGUUAUCCGGAUUUAUUGGGUUUAAAGGGUGCGUAGGCGGGAUGCCAAGUCAGCGGUAAAAAUGCGGUGCUCAACCCCGCCCAGCCGUCGGAACUGCCGGGCUAGAGUGGGCGAGAAGUGCGCGGAAUGCGUGGUGUAGCGGUGAAAUGCAUAGAUAUCACGCAGAACUCCGAUUGCGAAGGCAGCGCACCGGCGCCCUACUGACGCUCAGGCACGAAAGCGUGGGUAUCGAACAGG
rnacentral:rRNA from 1 species